rfam:Candidatus Ryanbacteria bacterium RIFCSPHIGHO2_01_FTLL_48_27 rifcsphigho2_01_scaffold_3298, whole genome shotgun sequence.
AAUGGGGUUACUAAGAGCAUAUGGUGGAUGCCUAGACUUUGAAUGGCGAUGAAGGACGUGGCGUGACUGCGAUAAGCUUCGGGGAGGUGUCUAGCAACCUUUGAUCCGGAGAUUUCCGAAUGGGGAAACCUAUACUGGUACACCCAGUAUGUCCUAUACCGCGUGGUGUAGGGAGCGCACCCAGGGAAGUGAAACAUCUCAGUACCUGGUGGAAAAGAGAACAAUUGUUUAUUCCCUUAGUAGCGGCGAGCGAACCGGGAACAGCCCAAACCUAUGUACUUCGGUAUAUGGGGGUUGUAAGAGAGUAUCGUUUGUUUACUCAAAGGAAGUUUAUAAAAGAAAUCUUCGUUAGCGGAAGGCGGCUGGAAAGCCCCACCACAGCGGGUAAUAGUCCCGUACGCGAAAACGGUUUUCAACUUCUUGAUACUCAUCUUGAGUACUUCGACAAAUGGUUGCGUCGGAGGAAGCAGGCCGAACUAUGCGGCCAAGGCUAAAUACAUUCGAAGAUCGAUAGUGAACUAGUACCGUGAGGGAAAGGUGAAAAGCAGCCCGAUGAGGGCGGUGAAAUAGUACCUGAAACCAUAUGCUUACAAGGACUCGGAGCCUACUAUCCGCAAGGGUAGUUGGGUGACGGGGUGCCUAUUGAAGAAUGAGCCAACGAGUUAUCUUGUAUCCUUCGUCUAAGGGCUUCGGUCCGGAGGCAAAGGGAAACCAAGUGUUAAUAGCGCGUAUGCCUGCUCAAAUUUUUGGGCUUUUUUGCGUGAGUCUAAAAAUUUGAGCAGGCCAGGGUACAAGAUAGACCCGAAGCCAGGUGAGCUUGCCAUGGCCAGGAUGAACUUCGGUUAAACCCGGAGGGAGGUCCGAACCGGUGAAUGGUGCAAAAUUCUCGGAUGAGCUGUGGUAAGGAGUGAAAAGCUAAUCGAACCUGGUAAUAGCUGGUUCUCUCCGAAAUAGCUUUUGGGCUAGCGUCGUGAUAAUCCCCAGGGGUAGAGCUCUGGAAGGUCUGUAAAGGGCGAAAGCUCGACAGACCUAUCAAACUUCGAAUACUGGGGGUCAUAUUCACGAUAGUCAGACUACGGGGGCUAAGCUCCGUCGGUCGAGAGGGGAAGAGCCCGGAUCGCCAUCUAAGGUCCCUAAAUCUAUGCUAAGUGUAUCUCAAGGAGGUGAAGUUUCUUAAACAGCGAGGAGGUUGGCUUAGAAGCAGCCAUCCUUUAAAGAGUGCGUAACAGCUCACUCGUCGAGAGACUUCGCGCCGAAAAUAAUCGGGGCUAAGCAUAGUACCGAAGGUGCGAAUAUGUGAACUUCAUUGAGGGAAAAUGUUUUUUGUUUGUAGAAAAAGUUUGUGAGGCGAUAGCUCAGACGGGAGAGCAUUCCCAUACACGUUCCACGUGUAUGGGAAAGGUCGGGGGUUCAACUCCUCCUCGCUUCAUACAACCUUCGUCGGGGUGUAGCGCAGUCUGGUAGCGCGCCGGGCUUGGGUCCCGUAGGUCGGGUGUUCAAAUCACCUCACCCCGAUUCUGGGAGCAGACAGUGUGUCUGCUCCCACCAAACUUUUUGUUCUUUGUUUUUAUGCGAAGUGCGCUAGUACUUCGCUCCUUCAAUGAAGUUCACAUAUGGUAGGAGAGCGUUUCGUAUGCAGUGAAGCCGCAUCCGUGAGGAACGGUGGAGCGUACGGAAGUGAGAAUGUUGGCACGAGUAACCACAAUCGCGGUGAAAUCCCGCGACACCGAAAGCCCAAGGUUUCCUUGGCAAUGAUGAUCAUCCAAGGGUGAGCCGGUCCUAAGCCAAUGGCGAAAGCCGCAGGCGAUGGACAAACGGUUAAUAUUCCGUUGCUUCGAUUGCGUUCGAUGGAGGGACGGAGACAGGUAGGUUGAGCGUAUUAUUGGAUUUACGUUUGUUGCGCGAUAGACGAUUCUUAGGCAAAUCCGGGAAUCAGCCGCAAGGCAAGUCUCUGCGUCGCAAAAAUUUUCCACUACGGUGGAAGAAAUUUAACUGAGACAUCUCCCAAGAAAAACUUCUAAGGUUCGCGCAAUCGAAACCGUACCGCAAACCGACACAGGUGGGCUGGGCGAGAAGCCUAAGGUGAACGGGUGAUUCCUCCCUAAGGAACUCGGCAAAAAAGCGGCCGUAACUUCGGGAUAAGGCCUGCCCCGCGCAAGCGGGGCUGCAACAAAAGUAUCUCUGGCGACUGUUUAUCAAAAACACAGCUCCCUGCGAACUCGUAAGAGGAUGUAUAGGGGGUGACGCCUGACCAAUGCGAGAAGGUUAACGGUUGAGGUCGUAUGGAUUUAUCUGUACGGCUAAGGCCCGAAGCCCUCGUCAAUGUCGGCAGUAACUAUAGACAACGACAGUUGUAGUUACUCAAAAAAAUCUUGCUAUAUGCGGGAAACUCUGGGUCCGUAAGGAACGGGCCAAAAAAGUAUUGGUUGCUACUCGCCCCACGUCGAUGGAGCAGUAACAAAGCAAUCAUGCAGACAAUCCGCAGGAAAGACUUCUGCUUUUCCAAGUAUCACAUGGAUAAUUGGUUAAGAAAUAUUGAGCCAAAAUUUGGCUACUACAUAGCUGGUUUUACUGAUGGUGAAGGAAGCUUCAACGUAUCGGUAGCCAAGCGCAAAGACUACAGAGGGGAAUGGAAACUCAUUGCUUCAUUUAACAUCUCUCAAAAAGACAGAGUGAUUCUCGCAUUCAUAAAACAUAUUCUAGGAUGCGGGACUUUGCGAGAGAGAAAAGAUGGAGUGGUGUAUUACGAGGUGACGAAUAUUCGGUCACUUCAAGAAAAGAUUAUCCCAUUUUUCCUCCGUUUCGGAUUUCUCUCGGCAAACAAAAAAAGAAAUUUCUCUAUCUUCAGACAGAUUGUAGAUCUUAUGGGUCAAGGAGAACAUCUUAAUCCACAAGGGUUACAAAAUAUUCUCGAGCUCCGAGAAAUACUGAAUGAGGGGAGAGGUAGGACGAGAAAGUAUACGUUACAAGAUGUAGUUAAUAGCAGAAGAAUCCUCAGAGACUAAUACGCAAGAGUCUUAUGAACCACAAUGCAUGCCGACGGGUUCAUAAUGAUAAGAUAGAGUCCGAUCCCAUAGGCGACUAUGGGGAUCCCUCGUAAUACAUGAGGGUGAUAACGUGAUGAACUGUCCUAAGGUAGCGCAAUUCCUUGUCGGGUAAGUUCCGACGUGCACGAAAGGCGCAACGACUGGAGAACUGUCUCGGGGAGGAGCCCGGUGAAAAUGCAAUACCGGUGAAGAUGCCGGUUACCUGCAGCUAGACGAAAAGACCCCAGAAGCUUUACUGUAGCUUGGUAUUGCGUAUGCGCUUCGACUGCGUAGCAUAGGUGGGAGGCUUUGAAGUAUCGGUUUCGGCUGAUAUGGAGCCAACAGUGAAAUACCACUCUUUCGCGGUGUAUAUGCUAAUCCCCGUUAAACGGCGGGGAGACAGUGCCUGGUGGGCAGUUUGUGUGGGGCGCAAUCCUCCUAAAAAGUAACGGAGGAGUUUAUUAAGGUCGGCUAGGCGCGGAUGGAAAUCGCGCUGAUAGGGCAAUGCCACAAGCCGGCUUGACUGCAAGGGGUACAUCCCGAGCAGGUGCGAAAGCAGAACAUAGUGAACCGAUGGCUAGUACUAGAAACAAGCCAAAGAUUAACGGAUAAAAGCUACUCUGGGGAUAACAGGCUAGUUCCGCCCGAGCGUCCAUAGCGACGGCGGAGUUCGGCACCUCGAUGUCGGCUCGUCUUAUCCUGGGGGUGGAGAAGCUCCCAAGGGUUUGGCUGUUCGCCAAUUAAAAAGGCACGCGAGCUGGGUUCAGACCGUUUAGAGGGGUAGGCUCUAGGCUUCUAGGCACUAGGCUUUAGCGAAUUUAUUUCCUAAAGCCUAACGCCUAAGGUUCCUAGCGCCUAGUCUUUUGAACCGUCUGAACCCGAGGCUUGAAGACAUCAAAACACGGCGGCGUACAUGAGUAAUUAUGUACGCGCAAACCGACUUAUAUCGGUAGAGUCCUGCAUGUAGUGGGAUAAUACCGAGGGAAGUCCACUCUUUUGUAAAGAGUGUGGAUGAGAUCUAGAAAAAAACUUGAAUGGGGACACAUACACCUUCUCCCUUGCGGACUCAAAAUCUGUCAGAGGGAUGUAAGACUAGUGCCUUGUACACACCGCCCAUUCAUCCACGCUCUACACUCUUUACAGAAGAGUGGUACACCCGUAGAGACUACACGUCGGUCUCCCGCUUACAGCGGGAUGAAGAUAUAGUCCAAUGCACGUAGUAAUACGUGAGAAACUAUUUACAUUGAGGAGAUGUAAUUAGAUAACAUGCGUGAGACAGGUUGGUCUCCUAUCUGCUGCAGGCGUCGAUUCUUGAGGAGAGUCUUUCCUAGUACGAGAGGACCGGAAAGAACUGACCUCUGGUCUACCAGCUGUCCUGCCAAGGGCAACGCUGGGUAGCUAUGUCGGGAAUGGAUAACCGCUGAAAGCAUCUAAGCGGGAAGCCAACUCCAAGAUUAGGAAUCUUAAGAUCCCUCGAAUACUACGAGGUUGAUAGGCUCUAGGUGUAAGCGCAGUAAUGCGUUCAGCCGAGGAGUACUAAUAGAUCAUGACCCCAUUAA